rnacentral:lncRNA from 1 species
AGUUUCGGGCUACCACUUAGAAAGGAAAUGCCUCAUUCGUCAACUCCCUCGACCAGAGACUUGGGGGACUCCUACCAUAUGCUACUGCACCUUGAUACUCGGAAGUCUCACGACCACUCAGUGACUUGGAUUUUUCAAGCCUCCAAACGAGAAGUUUUCCUCACUCGGGAAAUUAAGGGAGCACUACCUCAACUUACAUGCUUCACUCACAAAGCUUCAACAAAAGGAAAAAUUCAAAGUACUUAAUGAAGAAGGCCUUGGUGUAUUUAACACAAUACGUUGAAAUGAAGCAAAGAUUGUUUAUUGAUAUCUCCGAUAAGUUACAAAUAUGUACAUAUACAUGAAUCAAAAUAAACAAACAAGAGGGAGC